GACUUGACAUCUCCUGAAUUACUCUUAAUCGAGGAAGUCCCUUCGGGGACAGGAAGACAGGUGGUGCAUGGUUGUCGUCAGCUCGUGUCGUGAGAUGUUGGGUUAAGUCCCGCAACGAGCGCAACCCUUAUUGUUAGUUGCUACUAUUAAGUUAAGCACUCUAACGAGACUGCCGCGGUUAACGUGGAGGAAGGUGGGGAUGACGUCAAAUCAUCAUGCCCCUUAUGUCUAGGGCUACACACGUGCUACAAUGGCUGGUACAACGAGCAGCAAACCCGCGAGGGGGAGCAAAACUUGAAAGCCAGUCCCAGUUCGGAUUGUAGGCUGAAACUCGCCUACAUGAAGUUGGAGUUGCUAGUAAUCGCGAAUCAGCAUGUCGCGGUGAAUACGUUCCCGGGUCUUGUACACACCGCCCGUCACACCAUGAGAGCCGGUAACACCCGAAGCCCGUGAGGUAACCGUAAGGAGCCAGCGGUCGAAGGUGGGAUUGGUGAUUGGGGUGAAGUCGUAACAAGGUAGCCGUAGGAGAACCUGCGGCUGGAUCAACUCCUUUCUAGGGA
rnacentral:rRNA from 1 species